rnacentral:rRNA from 1 species
AUUGAACGCUGGCGGCAGGCCUAACACAUGCAAGUCGAGCGAGCGGCGGACGGGUGAGUAAUGUCUGGGAAACUGCCUGAUGGAGGGGGAUAACUACUGGAAACGGUAGCUAAUACCGCAUACCAUCAGAUGUGCCCAGAUGGGAUUAGCUAGUGGGUGGGGUACAGGCUCACCAAGGCGACGAUCCCUAGCUGGUCUGAUAGGAUGACCAGCCACACUGGAACUGAGACACGGUCCAGACUCAUACGGGAGGCAGCAGUGGGGAAUAUGGCACAAUGGGCGCAAGCCUGAUGCAGCCAUGCCGCGUGUAUGAAGAAGGCCUGCGGGUUGUAAAGUACUUUCAGCGGGGAGGCGUUACCCGCAGAAGAAGCACCGGCUAACUCCGUGCCAGCAGCCGCGGUAAUUC